rnacentral:rRNA from 1 species
GUGCCAGCAGCCGCGGUAAUACCGGCAGCCCGAGUGAUGGCCGAUCUUAUUGGGCCUAAAGCGUCCGUAGCUGGCCAGACAAGUCCGUUGGGAAAUCCACGCGCUCAACGCGUGGGCGUCCAGCGGAAACUAUCUGGCUUGGGGCCGGAAGACUCGAGGGGUACGUUCGGGGUAGGAGUGAAAUCCCAUAAUCCCGCACGGACCACCGAUGGCGAAAGCACUUCGAGAAAACGGAUCCGACAGUGAGGGACGAAAGCCAGGGUCUCCAACCGGAUUAGAUACCCGAGUAGUCC